rnacentral:rRNA from 1 species
AUAUCAAUAAGCGGAGGAAAAGAAACUAACAAGGAUUCCCCUAGUAACUGCGAGUGAAGCGGGAAAAGCUCAAAUUUAAAAGCCUUCGGGCGUUGUAAUCUGUAGAAGUGUUAUCAGUCGUUGCCUUGGAUAAGUCUCUUGGAACAGAGCGUCAUAGAGGGUGAGAGCCCCUUCCUUGCCAAGCUACCAACGUCUAUGUGAUACACUCUCAAAGAGUCGAGUUGUUUGGGAAUGCAGCUCAAAACGGGUGGUAAACUCCAUCUAAAGCUAAAUAUUGGCGAGAGACCGAU